AGACCCGAAACCCGGUGAUCUAGCCAUGGGCAGGUUGAAGGUUGGGUAACACUAACUGGAGGACCGAACCGACUAAUGUUGAAAAAUUAGCGGAUGACCUGUGGCUGGGGGUGAAAGGCCAAUCAAACCGGGAGAUAGCUGGUUCUCCCCGAAAGCUAUUUAGGUAGCGCCUCGUGAAUUCAUCUCCGGGGGUAGAGCACUGUUUCGGCUAGGGGGCCAUCCCGGCUUACCAACCCGAUGCAAACUGCGAAUACCGGAGAAUGUUAUCACGGGAGACACACGGCGGGUGCUAACGUCCGUCGUGAAGAGGGAAACAACCCAGACCGCCAGCUAAGGUCCCAAAGUCAUGGUUAAGUGGGAAACGAUGUGGGAAGGCCCAGACAGCCAGGAUGUUGGCUUAGAAGCAGCCAUCAUUUAAAGAAAGCGUAAUAGCUCACUGGUCGAGUCGGCCUGCGCGGAAGAUGUAACGGGGCUAAACCAUGCACCGAAGCUGCGGCAGCGACACUGUGUGUUGUUGGGUAGGGGAGCGUUCUGUAAGCCUGUGAAGGUGUGUCGUGAGGCAUGCUGGAGGUAUCAGAAGUGCGAAUGCUGACAUAAGUAACGAUAAAGCGGGUGAAAAGCCCGCUCGCCGGAAGACCAAGGGUUCCUGUCCAACGUUAAUCGGGGCAGGGUGAGUCGACCCCUAAGGCGAGGCCGAAAGGCGUAGUCGAUGGGAAACGGGUUAAUAUUCCCGUACUUGGUGUUACUGCGAAGGGGGGACGGAGAAGGCUAUGUUGGCCGGGCGACGGUUGUCCCGGUUUAAGCGUGUAGGUGUGUGUUCCAGGUAAAUCCGGUUCACUUUAACACUGAGGCGUGACGACGAGGCACUACGGUGCUGAAGCAACAAAUGCCCUGCUUCCAGGAAAAGCCUCUAAGCAUCAGGUAACAUCAAAUCGUACCCCAAACCGACACAGGUGGUCAGGUAGAGAAUACCAAGGCGCUUGAGAGAACUCGGGUGAAGGAACUAG
rnacentral:rRNA from 1 species